rnacentral:rRNA from 1 species
GNAAUNNGGUANANNNUNNGAAAGGAAUNNNCGGGUGGCGAAAGGCGGGCCCCCCUGGUCCAGAUACUGACANUNCAGAUGNGAANGNGUGGGGGAGCAAAACAGGAUUAGAUACCCUGGUAGUCCACGCNGUAAACGAUGUCUACUUGGAGGUUGUGGCCNUGAGCCGUGGCUUUCGGAGCUAACGCGUUAAGUAGACCGCCUGGGGAGUACGGUCGCAAGAUUAAAACUCAAAUGAAUUGACGGGGGCCCGCACAAGCGGUGGAGCAUGUGGUUUAAUUCGAUGCAACGCGAAGAACCUUACCUACUCUUGACAUCUACAGAAGCCAGCGGAGACGCAGGUGUGCCUUCGGGAACUGUAAGACAGGUGCUGCAUGGCUGUCGUCAGCUCGUGUUGUGAAAUGUUGGGUUAAGUCCCGCAACGAGCGCAACCCUUAUCCUUGUUUGCCAGCACUUCGGGUGGGAACUCCAGGGAGACUGCCGGUGAUAAACCGGAGGAAGGUGGGGACGACGUCAAGUCAUCAUGGCCCUUACGAGUAGGGCUACACACGUGCUACAAUGGCGCAUACAGAGGGCGGCCAACUUGCGAAAGUGAGCGAAUCCCAAAAAGUGCGUCGUAGUCCGGAUUGGAGUCUGCAACUCGACUCCAUGAAGUCGGAAUCGCUAGUAAUCGUGGAUCAGAAUGCCACGGUGAAUACGUUCCCGGGCCUUGUACACACCGCCCGUCACACCAUGGGAGUGGGCUGCAAAAGAAGUGGGUAGUUUAACCUUCGGGAGGACGCUCACCACUUUGUGGUUCAUGACUGGGGUGAAGUCGUAACAAGGUAACCG